rnacentral:rRNA from 1 species
UACGUAGGGCGCAAGCGUUAUCCGGAAUUAUUGGGCGUAAAGAGCUCGUAGGCGGUUUGUCGCGUCUGCCGUGAAAGUCCGGGGCUUAACCCCGGAUCUGCGGUGGGUACGGGCAGACUAGAGUGAUGUAGGGGAGACUGGAAUUCCUGGUGUAGCGGUGAAAUGCGCAGAUAUCAGGAGGAACACCGAUGGCGAAGGCAGGUCUCUGGGCAUUAACUGACGCUGAGGAGCGAAAGCAUGGGGAGCGAAC